ACUAUUUAUUUUAGGUAGAUCGAUAUCGGGACUAACCCUUCCACCGACCUGCUACUGCUACAGAGGACAAUUAGACAAUCUUCAGAUGUUCAUUAGGUUAUACCUUUCGCUUAUUGCGAUGUUGUGUACUCCUAGUACCCAGUGAUAACACUUACAUUAAUACUUUUCUGGACAAUCUUCGGAUGUUCAUUAGGUUAUCAAUUUUGCAUAUUGCGAUGUUAUGUUAGUCCUAGUACCCAGUGACAACACCUACACGAGUAUAUUUUUCUGGUUUACUUUAUUUUGUGAUAUGUUCACAUAAACGAGGAGUUAGACUAAGUACUUUUAGUACUAGUCAAUAGAAAGGAAAAACUAUCAUUUUACUUACAAAACAUUCGGGUCUUGAUAGAAGACUACAUUAUCAUAACAAAACAUUCGGGUCUUGGUAGAAGACUACAUUGUCAUAACAAAACAUUCGGGUCUUGGUAGAAGACUACAUUGUCAUAACAAAACAUUCGGGUCUUGGUAGAAGACUACAUCUCAAACUAAUAGAAAAUAAGGGAUUUUCUAGGGCUUUUCAUACUUACAUCAACAUUUUCAUUUAAAGGUUUACAUGACUUUUAAAACAGCUUUUAGUAAGCAAGACAAUGACACUUAAAUACUUAUGAAUUCACCAGCUUUAAAGUUGAUACUCUCUUUCAAAAUAACUUGUAUUUUCAGGUCAUCAGUAGACAGGUACGGUGGCCAGGUUUUGAGAAGAUGGAGCAGACAAGUCUCGUCUUUUAUUUUGAUUGUAUAUUUUUGGUGUCUUAUUGAAAUGAAAGAACACACAUGUAUUAAAACAUUACUUAUAAUGCAAUGGAUGAUGUUGCUUGUUUACUAUUUUACACCGUUGUGAUACUAUACAAUGUGUCCUCCACCCCAGAACUUUUCCGCCGUUCAUGGUUUUGGGGUGUAACAGAUUGGUAUCAGAGCAUUGUUUAUAGUGAAUUAAGUGUAUCAACCCAUAAAAGAUAUACUAACUAUAAACACAUUGGGAUUAAAAAACUUUGUCUAAGAGCUUAUACUUUUAAAUAAUAAAACAUUUAACAAAGUAUACGUGCCUGCAUUCAUACUAAAAUUCGUGUCACAAUGACAAGAACAAAAGUAUUGAGAUUGUUGAAUAUCACAGGUAAGCUCGGGGAUGUAUGGUCAGUCUUGGGAGUGGCAUAGCCUGAUCAACUAUGUUGUUCCAAGGAGUGAUUAACACAUGCCCAAGAAUGGUUGUGAUAUGGCAACAAGUCUAAAAACUUACCAACAUUACCACAAUGAGAACAUUAUAACAGAACCUAAGUCUAAAAUACCAUAGGGGUGUUUUGUGUUACUAUAAGUACUUUAUACUUGAGAACUAAAAUGGAAUCUUCAUUCCUAAGUUGAUAAUUGCUAAGUGGAUACGCUAAAGUUAUAUGUAACUAGGAUGUUAUAGACUUAGAAUCGGUGAAAUUCUAGCUUUACCCCUAUUCCUUGUGAAUUUGGAGUUGAGGUCACUUAUUCGAAGGCCUAUCCUGUGUUGAUUACAUAUAACUGGUAUGCACUUUACAAAUAGCGAUGGAACUAAUGAAGAUUUCCUAAAUAAUUAUCUAGAUAGUUCGUCUAAAUAAUUAUUUUCUUACCCCAAAUUCUCACAUAGAUAACAUGGCUGGAUUCCAUCCCCACGACAACCUGUUCCUUCCGAACGCGGUUAUUGCAGGAUGGUUUGGAGAAGAACCAGUUAAUGAUCAUCCAUUCCCUCUGAAUGAUGACCAUGCUGAAGACCUAUCAGACGAUGCCAUCUCCGAACCCGAGGUUGAGGACCUACCCCAGGUAGAUCGCUUUCAAAUUCCUAACCCUCGUCCGACUUUUCAUGGCCCGACGCCUGAGUGGGUGGAAUGUUUGGGAACAUUGAGCCAAGGACAAGAUCAACCCAUGCAAUUUAAUGGUGACCGAAGCUUCUAUGACCUGAGCAAUGGGGGCUCAGCAGACAGAAUCAUGCCAAUUCUGAUCCAAAGAGUUGCCCAAAACGAAAUUCAGGGCUGGACAGCUCUACAACGUAUCGCAGAAGUUGAUACAAAUGGAGGAAUGCAUAUGCUUCGCACCAGUCGCCUUGAACAUGCUCGUGAGAGGUCUAAGAGAGACCAUGAAACCCUGCUGCAAGCACUGGCUGAAUCACGAGCCGAAGUCAUGGAACUUCGAGUACACCAGUGAGUGUACGGAAGACACCUACUUGAUGUGGAACGCCAACUGGCUGAACUGAGAGUUCACCAGAGGGAUGAAUGUCGCUAGUAGUAGAUACUUUACUUUAUAUUCCUUGUUAGAAAGGAAUCGUGUUCCUAUCUAUGCCCGAUGUGGCAUUUUCUAUGAAACUAUCUUGUAUGUAAGUACUUUAGUUAGGUCUUUAUGCUGUCGAGAACCAUCAUCUCUGGAUAUGAUGUAAGACCUUUUUACAAGGUCAUUUUCCCGAACUUGUACGUCAUGAAUAUCAAAGAUAUUGAUAGUCGGCUAACUUUUGUGUCGUUCUUUAUUCAAAUACUCUUAUCAUGCUUUCAUUAGAGCCUAUUUGAAACAUGCUCUAGUCAAGUCAUUGGACUAUAGCAAUUUAACUCCGGAGACAUCUCCGAGUCUCUUAAUGGCUGGANNNNNNNNNNNNNNNNNNNNNNNNNNNNNNNNNNNNNNNNNNNNNNNNNNNNNNNNNNNNNNNNNNNNNNNNNNNNNNNNNNNNNNNNNNNNNNNNNNNNNNNNNNNNNNNNNNNNNNNNNNNNNNNNNNNNNNNNNNNNNNNNNNNNNNNNNNNNNNNNNNNNNNNNNNNNNNNNNNNNNNNNNNNNNNNNNNNNNNNNNNNNNNNNNNNNNNNNNNNNNNNNNNNNNNNNNNNNNNNNNNNNNNNNNNNNNNNNNNNNNNNNNNNNNNNNNNNNNNNNNNNNNNNNNNNNNNNNNNNNNNNNNNNNNNNNNNNNNNNNNNNNNNNNNNNNNNNNNNNNNUCUCGGCUGCCGUGUCAGCUAUUCUGACCCACCUGAACGCUAACAACGCAAGUGUUAGCGGGAUUGUUAACAAUCAUCCCAAUCCAAGUAACAAACGGAAGUCUUGGAAAAAACCUAAGGACAAGUCGCUUCGAAGGGCGAACAGGAAACAACCACCAGUAACAACCUUCAUAGCCACGACAUCAGCACCUCCAACUACCAUCCCUUUGGGCAUCCCAAAUAGUCCCUAAACAAGCCAAGCUUUAUGCAGGAAAUCUCCUAAAAUGCAUUAAAUGCAAUUUUCACCACCAUGGACCUUGUAGGGAGAGGCAGUGCUCACACUGCAAUAGGAAGGGGCAUAUAGCCCGUUACUGCAAGACUCCAACAGCUCAACCUGCCCAAGUGCCAAACACCAGUGUGAACCAAACUUGCUACGGUUGUGGCAAGGCAUGUCAUUACAAAAGGAACUGCCCAGAGGUAGCAAAUGCUGACACGCACGGCAGUAUGCUACCGACCACCGCCGCAGGAGAGUCUACUCCGGACCCACGUUAAUGUAAAUUAGGCGUUUUGUUGUAAUAGAUUUAUGAACCAUCCCAAAACUAAUGCAACCAGAGUCUUAUCUUUUGCGGGAUCCCGUUCGUUUAGGGAUGCUCGUGCUGCGUAUACUUGUCUUUUGUAGUAUACCUUGUUCGCAGCAAUAGUCUUGUAGUAAAUCCUAAGUUCAGUAACUUUGUUAAUGGUUGCACUGUUGUGUUUUGUCUGUAACGCCUUAUGUUCAAAUCUAAUGUCUUUAGUUUCCAUAUGUUUCCGACUUUAUCAUACGACUCGAGUAAAUUUGAUCCUCGCAAUACCAGCUCCAUACGUGCACCUCUUUCUCAGUAAACGUCUUUUAGCGAAGCCGUCAUAUCAGAACUCCGAGGUACUCGUGCAUGAAGUACCUAUUAGUUCCUUUCCUUUCCGAAGGAAUCCCCACAUUAUUGCUCGUGCAGUACGUCAAGUUCAAUUCCAGGAUUCAUACGGUUGAUCUAUCACUGAGGAAUGUAUACAUGAGAGUGAUAUAUAAUCAAUGUUAUACAGGUUUAGAAUUGAUGAUUCCACUUUAACUUCUUUUCCCUCGAUGGGAUGUGAGAUUAAGGAAGAAUCAGUUAUUCGACUACCUUUUCAGUCUUAAUUACAUAUGACUCGUAUACACGAAAUUGCGAUCAUUGAAUCACGUAUGAAUUCUAAUAUGAACUUCAGGAUGGAGACUAUCCAGGAGUACGAGUAAUUGCAUUGGCAUAGGAACAAACUUAGAACCCAGUAUGACUCUUAUAACCAGAUCGCCUUACAGUCGAAACACCUACGUAAGAUACAAGAACAGCCCAGACAACACAGCAAACUACUAAACAAUAGAAUUAGAAGACCAAGCUUCUCACCCUUGAGAGCUCCGGUCUUAUUCUUACCAGAAGUCGAAAGAGUGCAUUUUAUGUACCUCGACGACCAGAGACUUCAUUAAGAUUUCCUUUAGACAUCGUUGUCUUUGCCUCGCAUAGACGAAUUGAUUGGGCAAACACAGGGAAAGAAUUACUUCAGAAAUGGACCUGAGAUCCGAAUAUCACCAAUUCGAGUGUAAGGGAAGGAUGUCCUAAAGACUUCCCUCUGAACUCGAUACGGACACUUCGAGUCCGUAGUGAUACCCCUCGGAUAGGACCAAUAUGCCCAUAGUAUUCCUGAGCUAAAUGGGUGGAGUACUUUUUUCUUACUGGGAUCAGUUCGUCAUUUCUCCAUGAAAUGACUUACUUAUCUACCCUCGUAGUAAGAAAGAACCCAUGGAAAUAUUAAACUCGGAGAUACUUUUCGCAAAGUUCUCUGAACAUGAGUUUUAGAAUUAAGAGUCAAAUUUCCUGAGACACACUUUUGGUGUUGUGGAAAUUCUUGAGUACUCUGUCAGAUUAUCCAACACCGUUGGGAAUUUGUCGGCACCAUAGUCACCGACGGAAAAUUUUCCAAAUUCUAGGUCUUACAGACCUACUAUCAUAGUCCAUUCGGAACUCCCCGCAAAGUUCAAGAACCCUUUUGACUUUGACCCAGCAAGGGGUGGCCCUUGACUGGGAAGUUAAGCAAUGGAAAGAACCUUUGGAAUACUAAGUGAGAGACCAAAUUCCUUAAGAAACCUCACUCUGGGAAUGGCUUAAAUACGCUUCGUAAAGCAUGGAAAGAUAAAUCUAAUAUAGUUAGGACCUCCGAGAUUCCUACUAGAAUUGGUCCUGCAUCUCACCGACUAGAUCUACUCCGCGAGCUCACUAACGUACAUGUUACCCUUCACGUCUCAACUUUUAAACAAUACCUUUCCGUUAGGACUCUCGUAAGCCCACUCGACGAAAUCGAGAUUUACGAGAUCCUUGCCUUCGUAUUAGAACCGUAGUGACCCUCGACCGAGAGGUCAAGCGGACGAAGCAACACCGUCGCCCGUUAGUGAAGAUUCGUUGGGAUACCAACCGAGAACACGAUUUCACUUAGGAGUGCAAGAACCAAUCGAUUAGGAAGUUCAUGUAACGACUCGAUCAUUCGUACAUACUUCCUUGCCUAAAUUCUAAUUUCGGGACGAAAUUCCCUUUAACAAGGGGAUGAUGUGACAACACGAAAUUUCCAUUUUGAACAAACAAUAUCACUACAAUAGAAGUUAUAACGGUUACAGUAAAUUUUCAAUACUUUUUGGAUAAGUUUAAGUAAUUCAGGGUUUACACUUCAGGAGAUAUCAGGAGAGUGGAUGCACUAGGGCUUCGUGCAACACUGUUAUUCCAACACUCUGUUAUAUUAGAAAUCAUUUCGGGAAUAAAAAUAUUUUCUGCCAAAAAUACCUCAGGAUUAUAAAUAGAAUUCUAAAACAAAUUCAUUCAUUAUUCGCAUUUCCAACUAGAGAAAAGCCAUUUUCUCUGUCACGGAUCUUCGGGUUUUAAUCCCAAAUCGUGAGUACACUUCUCUAGUUGUCUUAUAAUGCUUAUUAUGUGCUUAAUAACGUGGAUUACAUAUCAAAUCUGUGAGAUUCGGGAGUUACCGCCCAAGAACGUUCUAGGAGAGUAAACUCCUAUAUGUGGCUUAAAUGCUACCUAGUCUUUUCCCCAUGUUAGGUAACGAACUUAGGCUUGUAUAUAAGUGUGUUUGAGACUAGAAAACAAACAAAACCCUAAGAUUCGGGAGCUUACCGCCCAAGAACACUUGGGGAGUUAACUCCAUUUUAAGGGCUAAAGGUGUCCCAAAGUCCUUCAAAGCCAUGGAACUCGAACUAGAACCCACCAUUGCAUGUUUAGGACACCAAAACAAUUAAGAUUCAAGGGGUGAAAGAGAGUUCACAGCCAAGGAGGUUCUUGGGCCGUGAACUCCAUGUUUAAGUUCCAUAAUGCUUUAAAAAUCCUCCUUAAGCCAAGAUACUAAUUUGGGCAUGUACCUAAAUGAGUUAUUGUCUAGCUAACACACUUAGAACACCAAGAGUAAGGUGUUCACGAGCCAAAAGGUUCUAGGGCCGUGAACUCCAAUAAAUGGUGCCAUAAAUCCUUCUAAAGCCAAUUACAAAAGCCUAGUUUUAAUCCUAGUGAAAUUAAGGACUUGAAAACACCAUAAACAUCCUCCCAAGGGAGAUUACGCCCGUAAUCUCCUAGGGAAUAUGGUCCCAGGGCCGUAAACUCCUAAAAGGAGUUAUAUUAUGCCCUAAACUCUUCCAUAGACCAAGCCAUUAAGUAGAAAUGCUUAUUAGGGCCUUAUAGAGCAUCAAACAUCAAAUGGUCACAUAAGUAUGAGUUCACGGCCACAAACUCAUUUGGUAGUGUUGUUAGGGUCGUGAACUCCCUUAUGGAGUUUUCCUUGAGCCCUACACAAAAUAGCUUCCCCUACAAAUACUUAGAUGCAAUCCUAGAGGCUAAUAACACUUGAUAAAGGUGUUUAUCAUGUCCUAGGGUGUUUGACUUGUUUAUUAGUUGUUUAUAGACUAAUUUGUUACAUAUAUGUGAAAUUAUAUGUUAACUAGGAUCGUAAGUGUGUUCAAGACUUCACUUGANAGCAUACUACAAAAUGUGAUGCAUGAAAUGAUUUUCUAUCUUUAAAAUACUUUGUUAUCAAAUGUAUUACUUUUGAAAUGAUUUCAAAAUGACAUCAAGUCACUUUUAUAUUUGUUCAAAGCCCUUAAAUGUCUUACAAAACCAUUUUACAUUCUUGAACUAAAGUAUGCAUAUACACUUAUAAUCUUACAUAUGUAUUGUUGUUAUAGUUUACAUCUUUCAUUUAGAUUCCCACACCCUUGAGUAGUAAGAGUGAAUAAACCUACUUGAACAACCAAUUACCAUUCAGUAAAUUAUCACAGGGAUAAUUUGAUGAUAUCAACCAUUAUUCCUAUUACAAGGAAUCACACAAGAGUCAGUUCAUUCAUGAGUCCACACCAGUACGUUACCUGAUACAUGAGUACAUUUACAUAUGCUUACCUGAUACAUGAACAUGUUUACAUAUACUUACCUGAUACAUGAACACACUUACAUGAAUACCAUACAUGAACACACUUAGAUGAAUAUCAUACAUGAACACUAUUACAUAGAUAUAUUAUCCUGUAUUCACUUACCUGGAUACUUGUAUCUCAACUUGUGAGGAUGAUUUAUUAGUAUUUUCUGUAUAAAUUAUAUUUCCUAUCCCGGUUCAUUGGGAUAUCUCGGCAGGGCUAACCAUUCCGAACCCCGCUGAUUAGCACCAGUGGUCGAUGACCAUCUACGGAGGUCUAUGGUUUCUACUUAUAUUAGGUAGAUCGAUAUCUAGGCAGGACUAACCAUUCCGAACCCCGCUGAUUAGCACCAGUGGUCGAUGACCAUCUACGGAGGUCUAUGGUUUCUACUUAUAUUAGGUAGAUCGAUAUCGGGACUAACCCUUCCACUCACCUGCUGCUGCUACAGAGGAUAAUUGGACAAUCUUCGGAUGUUCAAUGGUUAUACCUUUCACUUAUUGCGAUGUUGUGUACUCCUAGUACCCAGUGAUAACACUUACAUUAAUACUUUUCUGGACAAUCUUUGGAUGUUCAUUAGGUUAUCUAUUUUGCUUAUUGUGAUGUUAUGUUACUCCUAGUACCCAGUGACAACACUUACACGAGUAUAUUUUUCCGGUUUACUUUAUUUUGUGAGAUGUUCACAUUAACGAUGAGUUAGACUAAGUACUUUUAGUACUAGUCAAUAGAAAGGAAAAACUAUCAUUUUACUUACAAAACAUUCGGGUCUUGCUAGAAGAAUACAUUAUCAUAACAAAACAUUUGGGUCUUGGUAGAAGACUAUAUUGUCAUAACAAAACAUUCAGGUCUUGGUAGAAGACUACAUUGUCAUAACAAAACAUUCGGGUCUUGGUAGAAGACUACAUCUCAAACUAAUAAAAAAUAAGGGAUUUUCUAGGGCUUUUCAUACUUACAUCAACAUUUUCAUUAAAAGGUUUACAUGACUUUUAAAACAGCUUUUAGUAAGCAAGACAAUGACACUUAAAUACUUAUGAAUUCACCAGCUUUAAAGUUGAUACUCUCUUUCAAAAUAACUUGUAUUCUCAGGUCAUCAGUAGACAGGUACGGUGGCCAGGUUUUGAGAAGACGGAGCAGACAAGUGUCGUCUUUUAUUAUGAUUGUAUAUUUUUGGUAUCUUAUUGAAAUGAAAGAACACACAUGUAUUAAAACUUUACUUAUAAUGCAAUGGAUGAUGUUGUUGCUUGUUUACUACUUUACACUGUUGUGAUACUGUACAUGACUUCCUCCACCCCGGAACGUUUCCGCCGUUCAUGGUUUUGGAGUGUGACAAUUACCUUGUGAUGGUGUGUAUGAAAUUGUGUCGGUUGUAGAUAACCUAGGAAAUAAUGUGUUGUGUAUUAAUUGUUCUACUAGCUUGGAUAAAGCAUCAUUAUGCAAUUGUCGUCUUGGUCAUGUAAGCAAGAAACAUGUAGG
rnacentral:lncRNA from 1 species